GUUUGCCGUACAAGUAAGUGCUUUGCAUGUUAAGUUGCACUGAUUUUGCAGACCGGGAUUAGCAGGAGCCGUGAGAUUCGGGAUGGCAUCCUAUCCGUGGGUGUUCCUGAGCACUGUGUCUUCGCUGGAACCUUCACAGUGAAGGAAAUGUGGGAGCGCGUGUAUGAGCAUGUUCCAAACACUGUGCCUCUGCCACCUUCUUCCCCAUCUCCUUCCUCUACUUGAGUAGAGCUUAGGUUUUAAAAGCUGCUCAGGACCAGCAUCCUCCAGGAAGCCACCCUAGAUGCCAAGUGUAUAUACUUGCCUUUCCUCCACGCCUUCACAAUAGUCACUUCAUAUUUUUGCUCCAUAACUUGGCC
rnacentral:lncRNA from 1 species